CUUUUCUUAAUAGUUCCUGUGAGGCUGGGCCACAUACAAUAACGAACAAUUUGUGCUAUGCAGCUGAAGAUUCUGUAAUUUUGGUUGAAAUUUUACUUCCUUUGAUAUGCUUUAACACUGAAUAAACUGUUCAUAGUGUUUUCUUUAAAAAGUCAACUAUUGUCAAGGAGAAAGAGUUUGGCAUUUGGAUACGUUGAAAGGCUCGUUUUGGACUUAUAAGUUCAAAAUCUUCUAGCAAUACAACACGUGACGAUCUCUUCCAGCCUGAACGGCUGUCUCUAUGCUAUAUGUGAUCAAGAGAAUUCCUUCCAAUCCGAAAAGUGUGCGGUUUAAUCGCAAAAUUACUCGAGA